CUAAUAUACCAACCAUAGACCAGGCUAAUCUAUCAACCAUAGACCAGGCUAAUUUAUCAACCAUAGACCAGGCUAAUUUAUCAACCAUAGACCAGGCUAAUCUAUCAACCAUAGACCAGGCUAAUCUACCAACCAUGGACCAGGCUAAUCUAUCAACCAUAGACGAGGCUAAUCUACCAACCAUAGACCAGGCUAAUUUAUCAACCUUGGACCAGACUGAUCUACCAACCAUGGACCAGGCUAAUCUACCACUAAUCUACCAACCAUGGACCAGGCUAAUCUACCAACCAUGGACCAGGCUAAUCUACCAACCAUGGACCAGGCUAAUCUACCAACCAUAGACCAGGCUAAUUUAUCAACCAUAGACCAGGCUAAUUUAUCAACCAUGGACCAGACUAAUCUACCAACCAUUGACCAGGCUAAUCUACCAACCAUAGACCAUAGGUUGAUGUCUGGCCUUGGGUUCGAUUUUUUACCAAAAAGAAGAAAUUAUGGUCCCUAAAUGAAACAACUCACACGGUAGUGGCCACGGAUGUUAGGGCAAAGAGUGUUUCUCCUGACAUCAUUAUGUGUGGAAGCAGGCUGCUUUAUAAAUUUACAGAUAAACUUUUCCAGUGAUCACGAGAAAAAUACCCAUACAGUGUAUCCAGGACAGAAGUGCUCAAUAAAAACAUUUUAACUGUUCAUGUUAACAAAAUUCUAAUUACUAAAUACCAGUUGAUAACUAAUAAGAUUGCCUCAUUGUUCCUUGAUGAUUCUGAAAU